rnacentral:lncRNA from 1 species
CCAGAUUGAAAAUCUCAAUUUUUAAUCUCUGAAAUACAGCACGCACUUGUCCGUGUUGUUGCUCUGUACAGGACUUGCUUGUAUGCAUUCCUAAAUAGUGUACAGGUGGGAGCUAAACUGAAGCUUGCUGGUUGUGACGUGUCAGCCAUAAACUUGUAUUAUGACCAUUGUUUAUCCGGUGAGUGCAUAAAAUUCAGUACCACAAUUUAGGAUUACAGUUGACCCUUUUUGUAGAGAAACAUGGGUACUUUAGUGGCAUAUAUAUUCAGAUUUAGGCCUUUUUGCCAUAGCAGGCUGUAGCAAAGGCUAAAUCAUGCUCAAUAAAGCCUAUGUACAGAUACAUGUUACUUACAUCCACACAUGUGCCUUUGGUUGUAGCUGAGCAAGUUUAAAUAUAUAAUUCUCCGAAAGUAUACAAUUUCCUUUACUCCUAACCUCAUACUCCCUCCGUUCCUAAAUACUUGUCUUUCUAGGCAUUUCAACAAGUGACUACAUACGGAGCAAAAUGAGUGAAUCUACACUCUAAAAUAUGUCUACAUACAUCCGUAUGUAGUAGUCAUUUGAAAUGUCUAGAAAGACAAAUAUUUAGGAACGGAGGGAGUAGAACAUUUCUGAACCUAGCCUAUGUAUAUACGUAUAUAAGUGUUUCCUUACAUAUCUGAUUGAAUUUUUAAAUCAUAGACGAGUUAAUAUUUAAGAAAUAAUACAAACUCUUAGGUGUGGCCACUAGCAUUCUGUCAUUUAUUUAUGAACCUAGCCUUCUGUCAUUUAUUAUGGACGAGUUAAUAUUUAAGAAAUAAUACAAACUCUUAGGUGUGGCCACUAGCAAUGCAGUUUCAUCUAAAGUGGUAAAUGGUGCCUUUGUAUUCAAAUUAAAUAGUUCCUGAUAAUGAAGAAACCGAAGCAACUUGGUUUAUCUAUGUUCCUUUUUUUAAUCUUCGUAGAUGGAAUGCGUUCCUACAAGAAUAACACAUGUUUGAUUUUAGCAGGCUCAAAAACAGAGGCUGUUCCGUCUUCUCCUAAUCCAGACAAGCUGGCCCCUCUUCAUUGGUGCCCGUAGUAAAUUCAAAUUUGGUAGUGACACUGCAUGCCUAAAACUCUCCUGUAGGUUGGUUCAUUGAUUUAGAUUGAUAUAAUUGUCCAAGAAGCCAAUUAAUUGAUUUGGAAUCUAUAUAUUGUGGUGCAUUAUCUAAGCUUGCACUGUUAGUGUCGUUUAAAAAUAUCUCUUGCUUUUAAAAUAGUAUUAGUAAAAUGGCUAAAGUGCACAUGAGAGUCUAAAUCAGUUUAAAUCAUAACAGUCUCAUGUUUUCUUCAAAGAAUUUUGUGGUUGCAUAAAUAAAUCGCGAGGAAGAUUUGGAUGUAAGCACCCAUCUUUCAUGAGAUAGACCUAAGUUGUACAUUUGAAUUCUUCUCUGUUUAUACUCUGCCAAGUUAUCUCAAGCAUAUGAUUUUACUUUGGUACAGGUUGAUUAUAUUACUGGAUGCAUAUGCAUAAAUCAGAGGAUAAGCAGCGGAAGGACAAGUUGUAUUUUUCGAGAUGUUCUCUUCUUCUUUAUUUUACAUGUUAAAGCAUGGACCUUCUUGCUCAGGUUUCAGAUUUCUCAAUCCAUACUUCCAUGCAAAACAUAAUUUUGUUCGCACGAGCUCACAUUUUGGUAGUUGCAAAACAUAAACCAUGACACUUUCAGGUUUUAGAUUUUGUAUACUGAACCAUGAUGCUAGGCUGAAUAAUUUACUAUCUUUUGUUCGCACGAGCUCACAUUUUGGUAGUUGCAAAACAUAAACCGUGAUGCUUUCUUGCCGCUGUUGUAGUCUCUAAUUAAUGGCAUUGUGAGAGACUGUAGUUAAUUUAAGUUUCUUCUGUUUAAAUAAAACAGGCGUUGGUAACUGCAUAAGUUUAACCAUGAUGCUUUAUUUUUUUAGGGAAAAACCAUAAUGCUUUCUUGCUGCUGCUGUAGUCUCUAUGGGAUUCUAAGAUAAUUUAGUUAAGCUAAUCUCAUCGGUUUGCACUCAAAAAUCACAGGAGCCAUACAGAAAAAAGUAGGGUACUAUUAGAAAUUGGCCGUGUGAUGUUCAUAUUCAGAGAAUAGCACAUCUGUUGAUUAAACUGAAAAUGUAUAUGGUGCAUUUCGUUUCUGCUCAUCCUGAUCUAACCAAACUGAUCCCAUAGAUUUGAGAUUGUCGUGCCUAUCAGGUUUGGACAUGUUCUUAUUUGUACUAAAUCACUAAACUAAACUGUAUAAAUAAAAUAGCCCCCCUCCUUUCCAACAACUUAUUUUAUUUUUAGAGUGAGCAACGACAUGUUAUCAUACUCUGUUCCUUGUGAGCAGUACUUCAGUUUAGAUUGACGUAUACUCUUUGGUAUAUAGCAUUUUUGCCUACCUCUUGCCUAUUUCACAUCGAAUAGAUGAUUUCAAUGUUUUAAAUAGCGGGCUAUUGCCAAAUAGCGGCGGACCUCAAAAUCAGCUAUAGCGGAGCUAUAGCGGGCUAUUUGUACAUAGGACCGUUUAGCGGCACCCUAGUGAAAAGGCUAUAUAGCGGGCUAUAGCGGAGCUAUAGCGGGCUAUUUAAAAUAUUGGAUGAUUUGCUUUGGAGAGGGAUUAGAUAAGGCCUAUGAGUCCUAAGUAAGCGUGAUAAGCAUGUCCUGCACUUCUAUUUACUAUUAAGCACCAACUGAAUUUCUGAAAUGGUGUUUCAGGAAUGAUACAAUCAAUCCAACUGUUACCUUUGGGGUGCUUUUUGGAUGGACUAAUCUGAAGAUGUUGGCUAGCUUGCACCGCCAUCAUAUAAUCU